rnacentral:misc_RNA from 1 species
AAAAAAAAAAAAGUAAAAUGAUCGUUGCAUGAGCCAAAUGAGAGAGGCUGCCAUGUGGCAGACACUGUGCAUGCCACGUGCCACGCAUGAAGUGGUCCACAUCGUAAUCUCUCAUUCAUCCUCCAAUACAAUGACCAAUGAGAGGCUGCCACAUGGACCACUAAUGCACAUGCCACAUGGCAGAUGGAUAGGCUGCCACAUGCACCUCCUAUUGGCCAGUUUAAGUGAAAAAAAUGAAGAAGGAAAAUAAAUUUGAACCAAAACUGAACCAGAUUGCUGGUUUGAAUCGGACAGCUUCAGGCUGGUUUCAGUUUUUGGUUCAAGCAAAAGGGGGUUGAACAGUAACCAGUCCGGCCUCCCUCCGGUCCAGUUCAUGGUUCGAACUGGACCGUGUCCAGCAAUGAUACUUCCCUUUUUCUUGUUACCCGAUAUUACUUGUUCAAAUGAUUUUUCUGUUGUCCCUUCUCUAUGUGAUAUAUCCUUUUGGGGUUGAGGGGGAUGGAUUAAAAUGAAAAGAAUUUGGUAAUUGUUUUAAUUGUUUGGAUUGCGAUGCUAUUUAAUAUCCAAGUUUUAAUCUCUUCUUCUCCUAUAUCUUCUCAACUUGAGCAGAAGGCUUCUUAAUCUUAAAAAUUCCAAAACUGAAUGUAGCUUAAACCGGUGGAUGCCUCAUAUGUCCAAUUCUGUUGCAUUGCAGAGAAAAGUUGAACUCGAUGAAUU